rnacentral:rRNA from 1 species
AACGAACGCUGGCGGCAUGCCUAACACAUGCAAGUCGAACGAGACCUUCGGGUCUAGUGGCGCACGGGUGCGUAACGCGUGGGAAUCUGCCCUUAGGUACGGAAUAACUCAGGGAAACUUGAGCUAAUACCGUAUAAUGACUCCGGUCCAAAGAUUUAUCGCCUAAGGAUGAGCCCGCGUCGGAUUAGCUAGUUGGUGAGGUAAAAGCUCACCAAGGCGACGAUCCGUAGCUGGCUGAGAGGAUGAUCAGCCACACUGGGACUGAGACACGGCCCAGACUCCUACGGGAGGCAGCAGUGGGGAAUAUUGGACAAUGGGCGAAAGCCUGAUCCAGCAAUGCCGCGUGAGUGAUGAAGGCCUUAGGGUUGUAAAGCUCUUUUACCCGGGAUGAUAAUGACAGUACCGGGAGAAUAAGCCCCGGCUAACUUCGUGCCAGCAGCCGCAGUAAG